GCAUCCGGCAAAGUAUGCACACACUAUCGGAUUACAAUAGAAUCAUGGAAAAGAUGAAAAGAAAAACUGAAGCAAAUGGAAAUCGAGUCUAAAUAUUUUUACGCGAUAUGUCCUUUCCUCCGUAACACUGCAUUUAUGCUCCCUUUUUCUUGCUUC
rnacentral:ribozyme from 1 species